UACGAGGGGGGCGAGCGUUGUUCGGAAUUACUGGGCGUAAAGCGUGCGCAGGCGGUUUUCCAAGACAGAUGUGAAAUCCCCGGGCUCAACCUGGGAAUGGCAUUUGUGACUGGAAGGCUAGAGUGUGUCAGAGGGGGGUAGAAUUCCACGUGUAGCAGUGAAAUGCGUAGAGAUGUGGAGGAAUACCGAUGGCGAAGGCAGCCCCCUGGGAUAACACUGACGCUCAUGCACGAAAGCGUGGGGAGCAAACAGG
rnacentral:rRNA from 1 species